UACGUAGGGUGCAAGCGUUAAUCGGAAUUACUGGGCGUAAAGCGUGCGCAGGCGGUUCGUUAAGUCAGAUGUGAAAGCCCCGGGCUUAACCUGGGAACUGCCUUUGUGACUGCAUGGCUAGAGUGUGUCAGAGGGGGGGUAGAAUUCCACGUGUAGCAGUGAAAUGCGUAGAGAUGUGGAGGAAUACCGAUGGCGAAGGCAGCCCCCUGGGAUAACACUGACGCUCAUGCACGAAAGCGUGGGGAGCAAACAGG
rnacentral:rRNA from 1 species